CUGAUUGAACGUGCUUGCACGGACUUGACGUUGGUUUACCAGCGAGUGGCGGACGGGUGAGUAACACGUAGGUAACCUGCCCCAAAGCGGGGGAUAACAUUUGGAAACAGAUGCUAAUACCGCAUAACAAUUUGAAUCGCAUGAUUCAAAUUUAAAAGAUGGCUUCGGCUAUCACUUUGGGAUGGACCUGCGGCGCAUUAGCUUGUUGGUAGGGUAACGGCCUACCAAGGCUGUGAUGCGUAGCCGAGUUGAGAGACUGAUCGGCCACAAUGGAACUGAGACACGGUCCAUACUCCUACGGGAGGCAGCAGUAGGGAAUCUUCCACAAUGGGCGCAAGCCUGAUGGAGCAACACCGCGUGAGUGAAGAAGGGUUUCGGCUCGUAAAGCUCUGUUGUUAGAGAAGAACGUGCGUGAGAGCAACUGUUCACGCAGUGACGGUAUCUAACCAGAAAGUCACGGCUAACUACGUGCCAGCAGCCGCGGUAAUACGUAGGUGGCAAGCGUUAUCCGGAUUUAUUGGGCGUAAAGCGAGCGCAGGCGGUUUGAUAAGUCUGAUGUGAAAGCCUUUGGCUUAACCAAAGAAGUGCAUCGGAAACUGUCAGACUUGAGUGCAGAAGAGGACAGUGGAACUCCAUGUGUAGCGGUGGAAUGCGUAGAUAUAUGGAAGAACACCAGUGGCGAAGGCGGCUGUCUGGUCUGCAACUGACGCUGAGGCUCGAAAGCAUGGGUAGCGAACAGGAUUAGAUACCCUGGUAGUCCAUGCCGUAAACGAUGAGUGCUAGGUGUUGGAGGGUUUCCGCCCUUCAGUGCCGCAGCUAACGCAUUAAGCACUCCGCCUGGGGAGUACGACCGCAAGGUUGAAACUCAAAGGAAUUGACGGGGGCCCGCACAAGCGGUGGAGCAUGUGGUUUAAUUCGAAGCUACGCGAAGAACCUUACCAGGUCUUGACAUCUUGCGCCAACCCUAGAGAUAGGGCGUUUCCUUCGGGAACGCAAUGACAGGUGGUGCAUGGUCGUCGUCAGCUCGUGUCGUGAGAUGUUGGGUUAAGUCCCGCAACGAGCGCAACCCUUGUUACUAGUUGCCAGCAUUCAGUUGGGCACUCUAGUGAGACUGCCGGUGACAAACCGGAGGAAGGUGGGGACGACGUCAGAUCAUCAUGCCCCUUAUGACCUGGGCUACACACGUGCUACAAUGGACGGUACAACGAGUCGCGAACUCGCGAGGGCAAGCUAAUCUCUUAAAACCGUUCUCAGUUCGGACUGCAGGCUGC
rnacentral:rRNA from 1 species